GCUUAUGGCCAUACCACCCUGAGAAGGCCCGAUCUCGUCUGAUCUCGGAAGCUAAGCAGGGUCGGGCCUGGUUAGUACUUGGAUGGGAUUCUGCCUGGGAAUACCAGGUGCUGUAAGCU
ensembl:rRNA 5S_rRNA 5S ribosomal RNA